rnacentral:rRNA from 1 species
UACAGGGGGUGCAAACGUUGCUCGGAAUUAUUGGGCGUAAAGCGCACGUAGGCGGUCUGUUGUGUCGGAUGUGAAAGCCCUUGGCUCAACUGAGGAAGUGCAUCCGAAACUGGCAGGCUAGAGUACGUAAGAGGGUCGCGGAAUUCCCGGUGUAGAGGUGAAAUUCGUAGAUAUCGGGAGGAACACCGGUGGCGAAGGCGGCGACCUGGGACGAUACUGACGCUGAGGUGCGAAAGCGUGGGGAGCAAACAGG